GAUAUAUUUUAUAACGAACAUUAGCAAUGUCGGGGAAAAAACUUGUCGGUAAACGUCAAAUUCAAAAAAAGGCACAGAUAUCAGUAAAUAAUUCGGUACAAAACAUAUCGAAUGAUGACUUUUUAGAAGAGGGGACAUCGCAUGAUCCUGCAGCUGUUCUUUUCUUCUCCCCAAACACAAGUUCUUCUCGUGCUUUUUUGAGUGAUGAAUCUGUAACCUCCUCUUCAAUUAAUAACUAUGCUAUGGAUUUUACAAAUGUAGUAUUAACUCCGACAAGAAUGGCUGAAAUUUUUAUUGAUUGUAUUGAUAGUAGUUUGUCAGAAUCAAAUCAAGAUCCAGACAGUGAUUGUAUUGAUAGUAGUUUGUCAGAAUCGAAUCAAGAACCAGAUAUUGAGCCAUUAGUUGUACGCCUUCGAAGAUGGUAUUGUUCUUCGCGUGUUAAUUUGACUCAGCUGAAAUGUUGCUAACUGAACUUAAGCCUGAUCAUCCUGACUUGCCUUCAGAUCCACGGUGUAUAGUGCAAACACCAGUCUAUUUGGAUAUAGAUAUAAAUAUUGAUGGCUUGCCAGUCUCCAAAAGCAGUUCUGUUGAUGUUUGGCCCAUACUAGGUAGAUGUAUUGGAUUAUAUGACCAAAGAAAAAUAGAAGCAGCGAUAAGAAGUAGAAAAAAAAAACCUAACCCAUAGUAGAAACAGCGAUAACAAUUAUACAGAUUCUGAUCAUGAUAAUCAAGUUGUAGCACCAAAAAAGGCCACUGGCAUGGAUAUGGUAAAAAAUCUGGUUUAUAUGGUAGAGAUUAUGAAGGAAACUCAACGUAACCAUGGAAUAUUAUUGGAGGAAGUAGUGCAGCGACUCAGGAAUAAAGGAAUAAUCU